rnacentral:rRNA from 1 species
GUUUUAAAGUCUGAUGUGAAAGCCUUCGGCUCAACCGAAGAAGUGCAUCGGAAACUGGGAAACUUGAGUGCAGAAGAGGACAGUGGAACUCCAUGUGUAGCGGUGAAAUGCGUAGAUAUAUGGAAGAACACCAGUGGCGAAGGCGGCUGUCUGGUCUGUAACUGACGCUGAGGCUCGAAAGUAUGGGUAGCAAACAGGAUUAGAUACCCUGGUAGUCCAUACCGUAAACGAUGAAUGCUAAGUGUUGGAGGGUUUCCGCCCUUCAGUGCUGCAGCUAACGCAUUAAGCAUUCCGCCUGGGGAGUACGGCCGCAAGGCUGAAACUCAAAGGAAUUGACGGGGGCCCGCACAAGCGGUGGAGCAUGUGGUUUAAUUCGAAGCUACGCGAAGAACCUUACCAGGUCUUGACAUACUAUGCAAAUCUAAGAGAUUAGACGUUCCCUUCGGGGACAUGGAUACAGGUGGUGCAUGGUUGUCGUCAGCUCGUGUCGUGAGAUGUUGGGUUAAGUCCCGCAACGAGCGCAACCCUUAUUAUCAGUUGCCAGCAUUAAGUUGGGCACUCUGGUGAGACUGCCGGUGACAAACCGGAGGAAGGUGGGGAUGACGUCAAAUCAUCAUGCCCCUUAUGACCUGGGCUACACACGUGCUACAAUGGAUGGUACAACGAGUUGCGAACUCGCGAGAGUAAGCUAAUCUCUUAAAGCCAUUCUCAGUUCGGAUUGUAGGCUGCAACUCGCCUACAUGAAGUCGGAAUCGCUAGUAAUCGCGGAUCAGCAUGCCGCGGUGAAUACGUUCCCGGGCCUUGUACACACCGCCCGUCACACCAUGAGAGUUUGUAACACCCAAAGUCGGUGGGGUAACCUUUUAGGAACCAGCCGCCUAAGGUGACAAAU